UGGUGGAGUGAUUUGUCUGCUUAAUUGCGAUAACGAACGAGACCUUAACCUGCUAAAUAGUUAUGCCAACUUCUGUUGGUAGACAACUUCUUAGAGGGACUGUCGACGAUUAGUCGACGGAAGUUUGAGGCAAUAACA
rnacentral:rRNA from 1 species